GACGAACGCUGGCGGCGUGCUUAACACAUGCAAGUCGAGCGGUAAGGCCCUUUCGGGGGUACGACGAGCGGCGAACGGGUGAGUAACACGUGGGUGACCUGCCCUCAGCUCUGGGAUAAGCCUGGGAAACCGGGUCUAAUACUGGAUAUGACUCCAUGACGCAUGUUGUGGGGUGGAAAGCCUUGUGCGGCUGAGGAUGGGCCCGCGGCCUAUCAGCUUGUUGGUGGGGUGANGGCCUACCAAGGCGACGACGGGUAGCCGGCCAGAGAGGGCGACCGGCCACACUGGGACUGAGACACGGCCCAGACUCCUACGGGAGGCAGCAGUGGGGAAUCUUGCGCAAUGGGCGAAAGCCUGACGCAGCGACGCCGCGUGAGGGAU
rnacentral:rRNA from 1 species